rnacentral:lncRNA from 1 species
AAGCCCAACGCUCGGUCAUCCAAGACCCUAGCUAGGGUUUCGGGUUGGCCCUAUAAAAUGGGGAUCUAGGGUUUUGCGGUCGCUCUUCAUCCCGCCGACUCCUCCUUCCCUUGGCAUCAGACAGCGAGAGAGAGAGAGAGCGGAAGGCGUUCGCCGGAGAAGACGGCGAGGUAACCAGCCAUGGUCCACGUUAGCUUCUACCGCAACUGUGAGUCUCUUCUCCCUCCUCUCCUCGUCCUUUAUCCCAGAUCCUGUUCCCUUUCUCGCUAGACUACUCAAUUUCAACUUGUGAGUCGUUGAUUUCAAUCGUUUCAGGCUGCUUUUCUUGUUUACAUUGGAAAAUUUUGCCACUAAAAUGGCUAUGUUGCUUAUGGUUUUGUCAAUCUGAUCGAGUUAGUCCUAAUCGAUGCGAUCUCGACGUUUUUAGAUGUAUGCUUUAUUUGGAGAUUGUAUUUUUUGAUUUUUUUUCUUGGAUUUUGCGGAAUAUCGGUUUUGCAACUUUGUUUUUUGGAUUCGAGGCUUUGUGCAUUCGUAUGCAUAUGCUUACUUUAAAAAAUGAGUUUUUUUGCCCCCGAUCGUGUUGUAUUGAUGGGAAAAUAAGAAGUAGAUCGCACUCGUUUAGAACCAUUAAGUCUCUACCUCAUCAAUUUUUUUUUGUUAUUUUGGAAGCAAUAAAAUUUCUAAUCGAUGGAUAGGUAUAUGAUUGUACUUUGUCUUUUAAAUGAUCUUUUCAUCAAAUAUAUUAUGAUUUUGAUUAGUUCUGGUUGAAUAUAUUUUCUUUUUGCAUAGUUAAAGAGGAUUUAGAUAUUGGUUUUGAUUAUUUCUACAAUGUGAGAUAUUUUAAUGGAAUAAUGUCAAUAUGUAUAGAUGGGAAGACUUUCNN